CCAAUAGCGUAUAUUAAAGUUGUUGCAGUUAAAAAGCUCGUAGUUGAAUUUCGGGGUCAGUAGGUUGGUCAUGCCACUGGUAUGUACUGGCCUCACUGAUUCCUCCUUCCUGAUGAGCCGUAAUGCCAUUAAUUUGGUGUUGCGAGGAAUCUGGACUGUUACUUUGAAAAAAUUAGAGUGUUUAAAGCAGGCUAACGCUUGAAUACAUUAGCAUGGAAUAAUGAAAUAGGACGUUCGAUCUUAUUUUGUUGGUUUCUAAGAUUGACGUAAUGAUUAAUAGGGAUAGUUGGGGGCAUUAGUAUUCAAUUGUCAGAGGUGAAAUUCUUGGAUUUAUUGAAGACUAACUACUGCGAAAGCAUUUGCCAAGGAUGUUUUCAUUAAUCAAGAACGAAAGUUAGGGGAUCGAAGACGAUCAGAUACCGUCGUAGUCUUAACCAUAAACUAUGCCGACUAGGGAUCGGAUGAUGUUAAUUUUUUAAUGACUCAUUCGGCACCUUACG
rnacentral:rRNA from 1 species